UGUCUCUCUCAAAACUUUGGAGUUCCCCGCGCUCAACUCUUCCCUCAGUUUUCAAUUCCCUCCGUCGUCGUCGAACUCAGAGCUUGCCCGGUCCUGCGCCGCCAUCGAACUCAGCUUGCUCGGAUCCGCCGUCACUCUCCUCGCCGGUGAGUGUCUUUCCUCGCUUCCUCGCCACCCGUCGCGUCCUGUACGUUCUCCGCGCUGAACCAUGACUGACAUAGUCGCUGAAAACUCAGCUAGCUCGGCCGGUGGUUCCAAGAAAGAACGGUCUGUUCUUCGGUGCUUGCUCGGCCGUCAAUCUAAUCGCCACAACAACUGCCUGCAGGAAUCUAUCAUCGUGCUUGUCUGGAUUUCAACAACUGCAUUAAGGCUUCUAUUUUGUUGUUGACACCAGCAUUUGCAAGGCUUAUUUUGCGACUUAAUCUUCAGCCUCCUGAAUUUGUUACUGUCACCGUUGGUUUUUUUCCAAGGAAGUGAAAAAGGUGGACAUGCUGACAGAUGACUUGGUCUAUAUUACGAGGAAUGCGCCUUAUGCUAGUGAGGAAAUUGAUGUGGUUCCUGAGCAAUGGGCUAAGUUUUUUACCAGCAAGUAUUUAUUAUUGGCCUGAGCGCGUUUGAUCGAGUUGGCUUAGAUGUUAUAGAACAAUCUUUUAUAUUAAAAUGUAUGCGUACGUUGAAAUUGGAACGUACAUAUUUUUGAAUGUACUACAUGCACUUUGUUUUGGGAUAUAUAAUAUACAAAACACCAG